UACGUAGGGGGCAAGCGUUGUCCGGAUUUAUUGGGCGUAAAGAGCGUGUAGGCGGCUUUACAGGUCCGUUGUGAAAACUCGAGGCUCAACCUCGAGACGCCGGUGGAAACCGUAAAGCUAGAGUCCGGAAGAGGAGAGUGGAAUUCCCGGUGUAGCAGUGAAAUGCGUAGAGAUCGGGAGGAACAUCAGUUGCGAAGGCGGCUCUCUGGACCAGCACUGACACUGAGGCACGAAAGCGUGGGGAGCAAACAGG
rnacentral:rRNA from 1 species